rnacentral:rRNA from 1 species
AUCUAAGAGAUUAGACGUUCCCUUCGGGGACAUGGAUACAGGUGGUGCAUGGUUGUCGUCAGCUCGUGUCGUGAGAUGUUGGGUUAAGUCCCGCAACGAGCGCAACCCUUAUUAUCAGUUGCCAGCAUUAAGUUGGGCACUCUGGUGAGACUGCCGGUGACAAACCGGAGGAAGGUGGGGAUGACGUCAAAUCUUCAUGCCCCUUAUGACCUGGGCUACACACGUGCUACAAUGGAUGGUACAACAAGUUUCGCACUCGUGAGAGUAAACUAAUCUCUUAAAACCAUUCCCAGUUAGGAUUGUAGGUCGCCACUCUCCUACAUUGAAUCCCGAAUCGAAAAUUUAAUCCCGGAUUAACAUGCCUAGGGUGAAAAUUUUCCCGGUUUUUUGUUACCCACCA